rnacentral:rRNA from 1 species
GACGAACGUUGGCGGCGUGCUUAAUACAUGCAAGUCAACUGGAGCAGUGGUAGCAAUAUCGCUGUGGAGGUGGCGCACGGGUGAGUAACACGUAGGUGAUCUGCCUUCAGGUCUGGCAUAACUCCGGGAAACCGGGGCUAAUAGCAGAUGAUGCAGCGGCUCGACAUCGAGACAGUUGUUAAAGCUAUGGCGCCUGAAGAUGAGCCUGCGUCUGAUUAGCUAGUUGGCGGGGUAACGGCCCACCAAGGCAACGAUCAGUAGCUGGUCUGAGAGGAUGAUCAGCCACACUGGAACUGAGACACGGUCCAGACUCCUACGGGAGGCAGCAGUAAGGAAUAUUGCUCAAUGGGAGAAAUCCUGAAGCAGCAACGCCGCGUGAGGGACGAAGGGCUUUUGCUUGUAAACCUCUGUAGUGAGAGAAAAAAAUCCCAAUCUUUGGGACAUGAUGGUAUCUCAAAAGUAAGCCCCGGCUAACUACGUG